UACAGUAUGAGUCAUGGUACUCAUCAGUGUAUGAUGAUGAACUACAGUAUACGAGUCAUGGUACUCAUCAGUGUAUGAUGAUGAACUACAGUAUGAGUCAUGGUACUCAUCAGUGUAUGAUGAUGAACUACAGUAUACGAGUCAUGGUACUCAUCAGUGUAUGAUGAUGGGAAGAUGAAUGAAGGGUUAUUCCACCUCAUAGGGGUGGCAGGGUAGCCUAGUGGUUAGAGUGGAGGGGUGGCAGGGUAGCCUAGUGGUUAGAGUGGAGGGGUGGCAGGGUAGCCUAGUGGUUAGAGUGGAGGGGUGGCAGGGUAGCCUAGUGGUUAGAGUGGAGGGGCGGCAGCGUAGCCUAGUGGUUAGAGUGGAGGGGUGGCAGGGUAGCCUAGUGGUUAGAGUGGAGGGGUGGCAGGGUAGCCUAGUGGUUAGAGUGGAGGGGUGGCAGGGUAGCCUAGUGGUUAGAGUGGAGGGGUGGCAGCGUAGCCUAGUGGUUAGAGUGGAGGGGUGGCAGGGUAGCCUAGUGGUUAGAGUGGAGGGGUGGCAGGGUAGCCUAGUGGUUAGAGUGGAGGGGUGGCAGGGUAGCCUAGUGGUUAGAGUGGAGGGGUGGCAGCGUAGCCUAGUGGUUAGAGUGGAGGGGUGGCAGGGUAGCCUAGUGGUUAGAGUGGAGGGGUGGCAGGGUAGCCUAGUGGUUAGAGUGGAGGGGUGGCAGGGUAGCCUAGUGGUUAGAGUGGAGGGGUGGCAGGGUAGCCUAGUGGUUAGAGUGGAGGGGUGGCAGGGUAGCCUAGUGGUUAGAGUGGAGGGGUGGCAGGGUAGCCUAGUGGUUAGAGUGGAGGGGUGGCAGGGUAGCCUAGUGGUUAGAGUGGAGGGGUGGCAGGUAGCCUAGUGGUUAGAGUGGAGGGGUGGCAGGGUAGCCUAGUGGUUAGAGUGGAGGGGUGGCAGGGUAGCCUAGUGGUUAGAGUGGAGGGGUGGCAGGGUAGCCUAGUGGUUAGAGUGGAGGGGUGGCAGCGUAGCCUAGUGGUUAGAGUGGAGGGGUGGCAGGGUAGCCUAGUGGUUAGAGUGGAGGGGUGGCAGGGUAGCCUAGUGGUUAGAGUGGAGGGGUGGCAGGGUAGCCUAGUGGUUAGAGUGGAGGGGUGGCAGGGUAGCCUAGUGGUUAGAGUGGAGGGGUGGCAGCGUAGCCUAGUGGUUAGAGUGGAGGGGUGGCAGGGUAGCCUAGUGGUUAGAGUGGAGGGGUGGCAGGGUAGCCUAGUGGUUAGAGUGGAGGGGCGGCAGGGUAGCCUAGUGGUUAGAGUGGAGGGGUGGCAGGGUAGCCUAGUGGUUAGAGUGGAGGGGUGGCAGGGUAGCCUAGUGGUUAGAGUGGAGGGGUGGCAGGGUAGCCUAGUGGUUAGAGUGGAGGGGCGGCAGGGUAGCCUAGUGGUUAGAGUGGAGGGGCGGCAGCGUAGCCUAGUGGUUAGAGUGGAGGGGCGGCAGCGUAGCCUAGUGGUUAGAGUGGAGGGGUGGCAGGGUAGCCUAGUGGUUAGAGUGGAGGGGUGGCAGGGUAGCCUAGUGGUUAGAGUGGAGGGGUGGCAGGGUAGCCUAGUGGUUAGAGUGGAGGGGUGGCAGGGUAGCCUAGUGGUUAGAGUGGAGGGGUGGCAGGGUAGCCUAGUGGUUAGAGUGGAGGGGUGGCAGGGUAGCCUAGUGGUUAGAGUGGAGGGGUGGCAGGGUAGCCUAGUGGUUAGAGUGUUGGUCUAGUAACCAGAAGGUUUCAAGUUCAAACCCCUGAGCUGACAAGGUACAAAUCUGUCGUUCUGCCCCUGAACAGGCAGUUAACCCACUGUUCCCAGGCCGUCAUUGAAAAUAAGAAUUUGUUCUUAAUUGACUUGCCUAGUAAAAUAAAGGUUAAAUAAAAAUGGUAUAUAUUUGUAUUGGUGUAGAUUCAGAUGUAAACCUAACAACUCCAAUGACUAAUUCCUUUGAACAGGGGGAAGAUAACAUCAGUAAAUUGACUAGGAAUACAUUACAUGUGAUGGAGAAACAAGCCACAGCUCCAUGUACUACUUGUCAGACGUGGAGAACUGAUAUUGUUGACUUGUUAUUGGGCUGGGACAUCUGCAGGUGGCUUUUGACUAUUUAUUUGAAUUCCUCCUGUCAUACUUAUUGUUAGAAAAAAAAGUUUGGUCCAAAUCAGAUUUUAGGUACUGUAAAGAAUGGCUAUUUCUUAUGCAAGUGACCAGCCUACUGCUAUUACAUUGCUAGAACUGAGACAGCGUAUUUUCACAGUGAAACAUGUUAGGUCCCAUACAGGAUAGCUUCCACACCCACACACACACAUACACACACUAACUGCCGAGGACACACAGAUAAGACAUACACCCACACAUUGGGAGGAAGAGACACAGCCUUGACUUGCAGACACAAGCACACACACACAAUCUCCUUCCUAGCCGAACAUUGUGUGACUGAGAACAGCCCGACGAGACGCGGAGGAACGACGGACGGCUCAACAGGACCAAUCCAAGAAGACAACACCUCAACUGUGGCCAACCAAAAGGCCGUGACUUCCAGACUCAACCUACUUUCUGUACUGUACAUAACAUGCUUGCAAUCUGUUAUCGGGGCUUCUUUCUGCUGGUUCCUUGUGAGCCAAAUGAAUGAGCCCGUAUACGUUGUACCAGAUAUCUUUACUCUUAAUUAAACUGUCGCUUGUCAUUGAAUUGACCACCUUGUCCGAAUCGAUCCUUGACCGACUCGCCCUAUCUACAUAUCCCAUUAUCAACAGUACUAUAUUUAUUGAUUAUAUGAAUCCUAUAAAUUCAAAAAUGGCCAAGAUGGAUGCAAUCAAUUAGAUUAAUUCAUCGUAGAUCUAAUUAUAUUAUAUUAGAUUAAUUCAUCGUAGAUCUAAUUAUAUUAUAUUUCAACAAAAUAAUGUUGCAGGAAUGCUUAUCUUCUCUGUUUCUAACUACAGAAAAUUACUUUGAUAUGGGGGGAGAUAUUAUUUAAUGUCUUAAGUGUAUCUUUCUCCAAACAAAUGUAUUCAGUGAAUCUAGAGCGUUGGGCCAGUAACCGAAAGGUUGCUGGUUCGAAUCCCCGAGCUGACAUGGUAGAACUCUUUCGUUCUGCCCCCUGAACAAGGCAGUUAACCCACUGUUCCCCGGUAGGCCAUCAUUGUAAAUAA